UGGGAACUUAACAUGAGGAAAUUUGAAGUC
rnacentral:piRNA from 1 species